GAUGAACGCUGGCGGCGUGCCUAAUACAUGCAAGUCGAGCGAAUGGAUUAAGAGCUUGCUCUUAUGAAGUUAGCGGCGGACGGGUGAGUAACACGUGGGUAACCUGCCCAUAAGACUGGGAUAACUCCGGGAAACCGGGGCUAAUACCGGAUAACAUUUUGAACCGCAUGGUUCGAAAUUGAAAGGCGGCUUCGGCUGUCACUUAUGGAUGGACCCGCGUCGCAUUAGCUAGUUGGUGAGGUAACGGGUCACCAAGGCAACGAUGCGUAGCCGACCUGAGAGGGUGGUCGGCCAAAGUGGGGCCGAGACACGGCCCAGAAUCCUACGGGAGGCAGCAGUAGGGAAUCUUCCGCAAUGGACGAAGGUCUGACGGAGCAACGCCGCGUGAGUGAUGAAGGCUUUCGGGUCGUAAAACUCUGUUGUUAGGGAAGAACAAGUGCUAGUUGAAUAAGCUGGCACCUUGACGGUACCUAACCAGAAAGCCACGGCUAACUACGUGCCAGCCGCCGCGGUAA
rnacentral:rRNA from 1 species